GAGUUUGAUCCUGGCUCAGGAUAAACGCUGGCGGCGUGCCUAACACAUGCAAGUCGAACGCUCUCACGCAAGUGAGGGAGUGGCGGACGGGUGAGUAACACAUGGGAAUCGACCCACACGUGAGGAAUACCACCGGGAAACCGGUGACAAUACCGCAUACGCUUCGUAAGAAGGAAAGCUCUUCGCAAGAGGGGCGCGCGUGGACGAGCCUGUGCCUGAUUAGUUAGUUGGUGGGGUAAAAGCCUACCAAGACUGCGAUCAGUCGCUGGUCUGAGAGGAUGAUCAGCCACACUGGGAUUGAGAACGGCCCAGACUCCUACGGGGGGCAGCAGUGAGGAAUAUUCGGCAAUGGGGGAAACCCUGACCGAGCAACGCCGCGUGCAGGAAGACGGCCUUCGGGUUGUAAACUGCUUUUCUGGGGGAUGAGAACGGACAGUACCCCAGGAAGAAGCUCCGGCUAACUACGUGCCAGCAGCCGCGGUAAUACGUAGGGAGCGAGCGUUGUCCGGAGUUACUGGGCGUAAAGCGCACGCAGGCGGUCUGUCGCGUUCGUGCCGACAGCGACUCGCCUAACGAGUCGAGGAGUACGGAAACGGGCAGACUUGAGGGCCAGAGAGGGACACGGAACUCCGGGUGGAGUGGUGAAAUGCGUAGAGAUCCGGAAGAACACCAAAGGCGAAGGCAGUGUCCUGGUUGGUACCUGACGCUCAGAGGCGACAGCUAGGGGAGCGAACGGGAUUAGAUACCCCGGUAGUCCUAGCCGUAAACGAUGACCACGAGAUGUCCGGGGGAUCGACCCCCUGGGUGUCGAAGCAAACGCAGUCAGUGGUCCGCCUGGGGAGUACGGUCGCAAGAUUAAAACUCAAAGGAAUUGACGGGGACCCGCACAAGCAGCGGAGCGUGUGGUUUAAUUCGAUGCAACGCGAAGCACCUUACCAGGGUUUGACAUGUCUUCGCACCACCAGGAGACUGGUGUACCCGCAAGGGACGGAGACACAGGUGCUGCAUGGCUGUCGUCAGCUCGUGCCGUGAGGUGUUGGGUUAAGUCCCGCAACGAGCGCAACCCUCAUUGCUAGUUGAAUUUCUCUAGCGAGACUGCCACGAUCAACGUGGAGGAAGGUGGGGAUGACGUCAAGUCAGCACGGCCCUUACAUCCUGGGCGACACACACGCUACAAUGGUCGAGACAAUGAGUUGCCAACCCGCGAGGGGGAGCUAAUCUCAGCAAACUCGGUCUCAGUUCAGAUUGCAGGCUGCAACCCGCCUGCAUGAAGUCGGAGUUGCUAGUAACCGUGAGUCAGCACAUCACGGUGAAUACGUUCCCGGGUCUUGUACACACCGCCCGUCACACCACGAAAGUCGGCAACCCCUGAAGCCGCUGGGCUAACCCGCAAGGGAGGCAAGCGUCGAGGGUGGGGUCGGUGAUUGGGGUGAAGUCGUAACAAGGUAGC
rnacentral:rRNA from 1 species